rnacentral:tRNA from 1 species
GGGAAUGUAGCUCAAUGGUAAAGUGCUUAGCUAGCAUGAGCAAAGCUCUGAGUUCAAUUCCCAGCAUCCCCU